rnacentral:rRNA from 1 species
UGCUUAAUUCGAGGCAACGCGAAGAACCUUACCUAGGUUGAACUAUGCAGGAAAAGCCACAGAGAUGUGGUGUCCUUCGGGGCCUGCGAUAGGUGGUGCAUGGCUGUCGUCAGCUCGUGUCGUGAGAUGUUGGGUUAAGUCCCGCAACGAGCGCAACCCUUGUCCUAUGUUGCCAGCGGGUAAAGCCGGGGACUCGUAGGAGACUGCCGGGGUCAACUCGGAG